rnacentral:misc_RNA from 1 species
GAUGAAGAACGCAGCGAAAUGCGAUAAGUAAUGCGAAUUGCAGAAUUCAGUGAGUCAUCGAAUCUUUGAACGCACAUUGCGCCCCUUGGCAUUCCGAGGGGCAUGCCUGUUCGAGCGUCAUUUGUACCUUCAAGCUCUGCUUGGUGUUGGGUGUUUGUCUCGCCUCUGCGUGUAGACUCGCCUCAAAACAAUUGGCAGCCGGCGUAUUGAUUUCGGAGCGCAGUACAUCUCGCGCUUUGCACUCAUAACGACGACGUCCAAAAGUACAUUUUUACACUCUUGACCUCGGAUCAGGUAGGGAUACCCGCUGAACUUAAGCAUAUCAAUAAGCGGAGGA